CCCCGGCCCCGGCCCGGCCCCGCCGCGCCCCGUACCUGCCCCGGCCCGGCGGCGGAAGCGGCGGCGGCGGAAGCGGCGGCGGAAGCGGCGGGAGCGGCGGGAGCGGGCGGAGCGAGCGGAGCCAUGUCGGGCCGGGAAGGCGGCAAGAAGAAGCCGCUGAAGCAGCCGAAGAAGCAGACGAAGGACCUGGAUGAGACGGAUCUGGCAUUCAAACAAAAACAGAAGGAGGAGCAAAAGAAACUUGAGGAGAUGAAAGCAAAAGCUGCUGGAAAAGGGCC